UAACAAGGAUUCCCCUAGUAACUGCGAGUGAAGCGGGAAAAGCUCAAAUUUAAAAUCUGGCGGUCUUAUGGCCGUCCGAGUUGUAAUCUGGAGAAGUGUUUUCCGCGUCGGACCGUGUACAAGUCUCCUGGAACGGAGCGUCAUAGAGGGUGAGAAUCCCGUCCAUGACACGGACCGCCGAUGCUUUGUGAUACACUCUCGAAGAGUCGAGUUGUUUGGGAAUGCAGCUCAAAAUGGGUGGUAAAUUCCAUCUAAAGCUAAAUAUUGGCGAGAGACCGAUAGCGAACAAGUACCGUGAGGGAAAGAUGAAAAGCACUUUGGAAAGAGAGUUAAACAGUACGUGAAAUUGUUGAAAGGGAAACGCUUGAAGUCAGUCGCGUCUUUCAGAACUCAGCCUUGCUUCGGCUUGGUGUACUUUCUGUUAGACGGGUCAACGUCAAUUUCGAUCGACGGAGAAAGGUUGAAGGAAUGUAGCGUUGUUUCGGCGACGUGUUAUAGCCCUCUUCUGUAUACGUCGGCUGGGAUUGAGGACCGCAGCGCGCCUUUAUGGCCAGGGGUUCGCCCCAUGUACCGCGCUUAGGAUGUUGGCAUAAUGGCUUUAAGCGACCCGUCUUGAAACACGGACCAAGGAGUCUAACAUGCUUGCGAGUAUUCGGGUGGAAAACCCUUGUGCGUAAUGAAAGUAAAAGUUGGGAGCCUCCGCGAGGGGGUGCACCGACGCCCGGCCCUGACGUUCUCUGAUGGUGCUGCGGUAGAGCAAGUAUGUUGGGACCCGAAAGAUGGUGAACUAUGCCUGAAUAGGGCGAAGCCAGAGGAAACUCUGGUGGAGGCUCGUAGCGAUUCUGACGUGCAAAUCGAUCGUCAAAUUUGGG
rnacentral:rRNA from 1 species